rnacentral:rRNA from 1 species
GGAAUAUUGGACAAUGGGGGGAACCCUGAUCCAGCGACGCCGCGUGAGUGAAGAAGUAUUUCGGUAUGUAAAGCUCUAUCAGCAGGGAAGAAAGAAAUGACGGUACCUGACUAAGAAGCCCCGGCUAACUACGUGCCAGCAGCCGCGGUAAUACGUAGGGGGCAAGCGUUAUCCGGAUUUACUGGGUGUAAAGGGAGCGUAGACGGCAGGGCAAGUCUGAUGUGAAAGCCCGGGGCUCAACCCCGGGACUGCAUUGGAAACUGUCAGGCUAGAGUGCAGGAGAGGUGAGCGGAAUUCCUAGUGUAGCGGUGAAAUGCGUAGAUAUUAGGAGGAACACCAGUGGCGAAGGCGGCUCACUGGACUGUAACUGACGUUGAGGCUCGAAAGCGUGGGGAGCAAA